GACGGAGGGGGCAAGCGUUAUCCGGAUUCACUGGGUUUAAAGGGUGCGUAGGCGGACAGGUAAGUCAGUGGUGAAAUCUCCGAGCUUAACUCGGAAACUGCCUUUGAUACUCUCUGUCUUGAAUAUGGUGGAGGUAAGCGGAAUAUGUCAUGUAGCGGUGAAAUGCUUAGAGAUGACAUAGAACACCUAUUGCGAAGGCAGCUUACUACGCCUAUAUUGACGCUGAGGCACGAAAGCGUGGGGAUCAAACAGG
rnacentral:rRNA from 1 species